UUUCAGAAGGGAGGGCCCUCGAAAUCUAGUGGUAGGGCUAAGGGAGGAGAAAUGUGAUUGGGCUUAAACCUCCAAAGAGGCAGGGGGGCGGCUGACUGGGUCACAUCAGACUGUAUUAUACAGACAUUCUAAACAACAAGCUUCUGUGGCCAUUUUACAGGCCCCAGCCAGGGGGGGCAGGGCAUGAAGAAGAAGAAAAAGAAAGAGGGGGGAGCUCAGCAUGGCAGCUGUCAUCAGAAGCCCCCAGGCUUUGUGAAGAAGCCCUUCAUGUCACAGGAGUUCAUCAGCCAACAUGCCGUGGAGCACAGAGGCCGCCUCAUCUGCAAAUACUUCCUGGGUGGGCGCUGCCGCAAGGAGGACCAGUGUAAAUUCGAGCAUGAGC